rnacentral:rRNA from 1 species
AUGAUAUCAGGAAAAGUGAGAAGAGGAGAAACUCAACAAGUCCAACACCCGGUAUGGAAGGCACCUCCGAUAGGGAUUGUCAAUUCAGAAGCUGUCGGUUGUCUCGGAUUGCUUGAAUGCCAUGUCAGAUAUAAGAAGGCGAAGGGAGAAACAGGAGCUAUAGAUCAGGAGCUUAUCACUGGGCAGUCUUGUUUUAUUCAUUUUGAUUUCAUGUUUGAAACUAGGAGCACAAAUGUUGAUUCUCACAACCUUGCUAGGUUUUGUUUUGCUCUUAGUUUGGGGCGCCACUUGUGGCUGGGAUCUCCUCCUGCACAAGCAAACAUUCCUGUGAUAGUUUCUAUCGACCAAUAG